CUGAAGAUAACAAGCAGACAGCUCAAAAAACAGCAAAGAGCUGCAGCGUCAAAUCACGGAGUCGGUUAUUUGAAUAUCCCACCCACAUUUUGUGGGUCCUGUUGAUGAGUUGCAGGGAAGGAUUUCUUUAUCUACAGUUAAGAAAUGUGACUGGCUGCUUUCCAGAUUCCAACUCCCCUAAAACCACAGCAGCAAGAAGAACACUAGCAGUUCUGCCCAUACGAAACCUAUGCUAGCCUGAACGGUUGCCUUUACAAGAAUUACGCACAGUGUGGCCCUGCAUACUUCGCCUGCUAAUCUCCGCAAUACUUUGUUAUGGCAUCAACAAUAACAGCAGGACUGCUGCAACAAGAGAAAGGAUAUGGACAUUCUGUUUAUACAACAUUGUAUCUAUAAAGGUAGCCAUGUCUUGUUUGUUGUUUACAAUUUUUUCUUUUUUUUCUUUGAACUUUUUCUGUCAGUUUGUGUUUUUCUCAUUAGCCUAUAGAUGGCGUUGUGUAAAAUAGUAUAAAGCUGUAUGACCUCUAAGUGAUCAGUUUGGACCUGAAACGUUGUUGCUUGUUGGAGAUUUACGCCAUGUAAACUAAUAAAGGCUUUUUGUUGAUUCUA